rnacentral:lncRNA from 1 species
UGAUCCCCCCAUGACCCCAAGGUCAGGGGUUCAACCCCUAGCAUAUGCAUCUGCCUUAUUUUUUUAUUUCAUUUAGGUUUUAAUUCUUUUUUACCAUUUUAUUUCCAACUUUAUUUUAUUUUUUACACCCCUAUUAUUUUUGUCUCUAGUAUUUAUUUAUACCUUGUUUCAAGUCAUUUGGACAUUUUUUUUAUGGACUUUUGAGGUCAUGAAUCCAAUGGCUAAUGAAUUCUACAUUUGUCAUGAUAUUGGUUUGUUUAGGGUUUCUUGAACUUUCC